rnacentral:rRNA from 1 species
GUGCACGCUCUGUUAACACAUCCACUCACACCCUGUGCACCCUCUGUAGUUCUGUGGUUGGGGGACCCAUCCUCCUGCUGUGGUUCUGCAUCUUUACACACACACACUGUAACAAAGUCUCAUGGAAUGCAUCUGCGUUUAACGCAAUACAAUACAACUUUCAGCAACGGAUCUCUUGGCUCUCGCAUCGAUGAAGAACGCAGCGAAAUGCGAUAAGUAAUGUGAAUUGCAGAAUUCAGUGAAUCAUCGAAUCUUUGAACGCACCUUGCGCCCUUUGGCCAUUCCGAAGGGCAUGCCUGUUUGAGUAUCAUGAACACCUCAACUCUUCAUGGUUUUCCGUGAUGAGCUUGGACUUUGGGGGUUUUGCUGGCCUACGGUCGGCUCCUCUAAAAUGAAUCAGCUUGCCAGUGUUUGGUGGGCAUCACAGGUGUGAUAACUAUCUACGCUUGUGGUUUUCCCACCAGGUAACCUUCAGCAGUGGAGGUUCGCUGGAGCUCACAGAUGUCUCUCCUCAGUGAGGACAGCCCUUUGAAUGUUUGAUCUCAAAUCANNUAGGACUACCCGCUGAACUUAAGCAUAUCAAUAAGCGGANGAA